CCUCGAUGCAUGAAAUAUAUAUUCAUUUCAGGUGCAAUUAUUUCUAACACUUUACCCAUUCAAAACGAUGUUGUCAUAUUUUGCUACUACAUAAGACACUAUCCUUAUUUGAUUAAAGAUAUUUCCCUUUCUGUUGAUAUAAUUUUUUUUGUACUUCAUUGUUUUGUAUUUCAAUCUCAGUUUGAUGGACAUCUGGUGUCAACUUCUUCUCUUUACUGUUAAGUUGACUUGUUGGUUUAUAAUAUUCUCUGGUUCUAUUACUUUCUUGUAUCAACCGGUGCUCUCCUAGAGAUGCCUUUUCCUUUCUCU
rnacentral:lncRNA from 1 species